AUUGUGCCUAGUGGUCCAAACUUAACGAAAUUAGGGCUCAUAAGCGUUUCACCGACCGGAGGCAAAUGAAGCCACGGAACGGAUGAUCGAAGUUGGGAGAAACGCAAAUGAAAUCAAACAUUUGCCUCCGGUCGGUGACCGAUCGUGAAGAAGAUGGAGCGCGUAGGCAGGCGAGAAGGAGAACCCGAAGCAUUUGGGGUUGAUUGCUCGCGAGGGAGCGCUUACGGGAAUCGACGAACCGAAGAACGAAGGGAGAAGCAGCGGAUGCGCUCUUCUCGGUCUGCAGCUAGGUGCGAAGGAGACUAAUCGAUCGACGACGUGGGCGAUUAGCUCCGAGGGUUGACAAGGUUGAAGAGACGGAGAAGCAGCGAAGCUACUGCGGUCUCGGUGGGGAAGCGCAGACGAGACCUUUGGAGGUCUAGGGCCGAUGGGUAACCAAAGAGAAUUAGAGCGACGGAAAGGGCGAUUCGGUGGUGUUUGCGAAGGGGAGACGAAGGCAGCAGUUAACAACAGGGAAUGAAAGAAAGGAAUCACCGGGGCCUUACAAGAACAACACCUCCAAUGGAGGUGUUCUUGACUGGAAUGAAGAAGAAGAAUGAAGGAAAUGGGUGCUGUGUUUCUGGUGAUUCAUUGACAGCUCUACUUGAGGAAUGAAAACACGCUUCCUUUGAGUAUGAGUGUUCGUGUAAACAUUGUACAGGUCUGGGUUUGACUGAGUGUUGUAUCUUGUUGAGUGUGGUUUGAUUGAGUGUUGUAUUUGAUUACACGCCAGUUUCAAUUUAGAAAGGAAAAGGGAAAAGUUUUCCUGUAAUUGAUCAAAACAAAAUUUGGAAGUAAUUUAUUUAUUUAUUUAUUUAUUUA